rnacentral:rRNA from 1 species
UACGGAGGGUGCAAGCGUUGUUCGGAAUUACUGGGCGUAAAGCGCGUGUAGGCGGCUUGGCAAGUCAGAUGUGAAAUCCCCGGGCUCAACCCUGGAACUGCAUCUGAAACUACCUGGCUAGAGUCUCGGAGAGGAAGGCAGAAUUCCCGGUGUAGGGGUGAAAUCCGUAGAUACCGGGAGGAAUACCAGUAGCGAAGGCGGCCUUCUGGACGAAGACUGACGCUCAGACGCGAAAGCGUGGGGAGCAAACAGG